rnacentral:rRNA from 1 species
UUCGAAAAGCCAUGCGAGUCUAGAGGCCUAGCCUCGGCGUACCGCUCAGUAACACGUGGGUAACCUACCCUAUGCUGGGGAAUAAGCUCGGGAAACUGAGAAUAAUACCCCAUAGUCCACUACGCCUGGAACGGUGAGUGGAUCAAAGCUCCGGCGGCAUAGGAUGGGCCUGCGGCGUAUCAGGUUGUAGGGGGUGUAAUGUACCCUCUAGCCAUCUACGCGUACGGUUGUUGGGAGACAUUGCCCGGAGAUGAAUUCUGAGACACGAAUCCAGACCCUACGGGGUGCAGCAGGCGCGAAAACUUGGCAAUGCGAGAAAUCGUGACCAGGGAACUCCAAGUGGCAGGGGUAAGACCCUGUCUUUUUCCGACUCUAAAUAGGUCGGCGAAUAAGGGGUGGGUAAGGACGGUGCCAGCCGCCGCGGUAAUACCGGCGCCUCAAGUGGUAGUCGCUCUUAUUGGGCCUAAAACGUCCGUAGCCGGUCUGGUACAUUCGUGGGUAAAUCAACUCGCUCAACGAGUUGAAUUCUGCGAGGACGGCCAGACUUGGGACCGGGAGAGGUGUGGGGUACUCUCAGGAUAGGGGUAGAAAUCAUGUCAUCCUGAAAGGACCAGCUGUUGCGAAGGCU